rnacentral:lncRNA from 10 species
AGCAUGGAAGCCUUUCCAGUUGUGAGUAAUUUGCUGAUUCAUUGUCAAGAGGAGACAAAUGAAACAAAAGGGAAAAUUCGUGUGCUGCUUAAACACAGAAUGAACGAGCUUUGUGGACUACUGGGCCCAGCUGAAUGGUUCUCACCUGAGGUCUGUCAUGUAGUAGAGGAAGCUGCAGUCAGCAGAAGGCAUGACUGAUUGCAUGCCAAAAAUGGCUCAGUCACAUGGGUGGAAUUUGAUGCCAGUUCCUGGUUGAGAGCUCAGCUAUGGCUAUUGACUGGAUAUCUACACAGGGCUGUCCUCGUGGCAUGGGAGUCUCACAAUGACAACUGAGUUCUCAGAAGGAGAGUGCCUACAGCAGGCACUCCAAAAGAGGGCACUCCCAGACCAAGAGAUGGAUUAGCUGUUUGCCACACUCCUUUUUAUUGCUAGUCUCCACGUCUUAACCUAUGAGAGACUGUAUAACUGAGCUGUAGAUGAAAUAAGGUGGGCCAAAGCAAUAUAUGCCACAAGGAAUACCCACAAGCAUGACUUACGUUAGUUUUCCUGCUCGACUCUAGGAAAUAAAGCAGAACAUAGACUCAGCUGCUCCACCAGCCCCAGUGUCCACCUACCUGGAACUCCCAUAGGUAUUAAAUAGGUGAACAUUAAAAACUUUCAGUUUGCUGAUCCAUUAUAUUUCUGAGUACACUUGUUGUUCAGCCUCA